rnacentral:tRNA from 1 species
UCCCUGGCAGUCCCAUGGUUAAGACUCUGCAUUGCCAAUGCAGGGGGCACAGGUUUGAUUCCUGGUCAGGGAA